AUGUCGGAGCGCCGCGGCCGCUCGCCGGGAUGGCUCGCGCCGGUGCUAUCCACGCCCGGCGGCAGCCACACGAUGCCAGCGUCGGCAAGCUGGAACGUCUCGCCGACCUGGGCGCCUCCUUCAGCGGCGCUAGGAUCUCCUGCAAUCGGGCGGUGCUGGAGCUCCACUACGGCAGCGGUCAUUGCCCCUACAAACGCUAGGUGCUGGCACAGCACCAGGAGAUGGGCCGCCUAUGCAAGGACGUUGCAGGCCACAGGAGGCUUUCACUUGAUGAGUUUACUAAAAGAUGUUCCGACACUCAGAGGUGACAAUCACACUGAGUGGAGGAAGAAAGUUGAACUGGCAUUUGUCUGUGCUGAUCUGGACUGGGUCUUGGAAGAACCACAGCCGGUCACACCUAUAGAGCCAGUAAGAGAGGUCACUGAUGAUGAUGCUGCAUGGGCUAAAAAGAGGGGGGAUUAUGCUCCCUUGGAGAUGUCAUACAUCAUAGAAAACCAAAAGUGGGUCCAUGCAAACAAAAAGUGCAUGGCAUUUAUAAAGAAUAUAAUUGAGAGCACCAUUGUGGGCUUCAUUGCAAAGUGCACUUCCGCAGGGGAGUUGCUUACAAAGAUAAAUAGUCUGUUCACUUGCUCUUCAAUGAUAUAUGCCAUCCAGGUGUUAGAGCAACUGGUGACAGAAUGCUACAUGGGUGGUAGUCAUAGAAUAAGAGAGCACAUCCUCAGGAUGAGCAAUAUGGCAGCAAAGCUAAAGCCCAUGGAUGAGGAUCUGGAGAUCAAACCAAAGCUCCUGGUCCAUCUGGUCAUGGUCUCACUGCCAAAGGAGUUUGAAACUUUUGUUGUAAACUACAAUAUGUCACCUGGAACAUGGGACAUUGAAAAGACAAUAGCAAUGUGUGUCCAAGAAGAGGACAGACUCAAAGCCUCACAUGGUGGUACACUCAACUAUGUGAAGGGUCACAAGAAAAAGAAUUACAAUCAAAACAACAAAAGUUCUCCUUCAAAGCCACAAGGAAAAGCUCCCUAUCAGCAUCAGCGUCAGCAACAACCUUUUCCAGUGGACAAAGACACUUGUCUGCACUGUAAGAAGACCGGGCAUUACAAGAAAGACUGCCCUGUUUGGCUGAAGUCCUUAAUGGCAAAGCAAGGGAUUCCAAUCGACCUGGACUACGCUAAGAAGAUAAAGAGGCAUUGA
rnacentral:rRNA from 1 species